rnacentral:rRNA from 1 species
AGUGAACGCUGGCGGUGGGCCUAACACAUGCAAGUCGAACGGCCGCACAGUAAGAUCUUGCUCUUACGGGUGGCGAGUGGCGGACGGGUGAGGAAUACAUCGGCAUCUACUUUUUCGUGGGGGAUAACGUAGGGAAACUUACGCUAAUACCGCAUACGACCUACGGGUGAAAGCAGUGGAUCUUCGGACCUUGCGCGAUUCAAUUAGCCGAUGUCGGAUUAGCUAGUUGGCUGGGUAACGGCCCACCAAGGCGACGAUCCGUAGCUGAUCUGAGAGGAUGAUCAGCCACACUGGAACUGAGACACGGUCCAGACUCCUACGGGAGGCAGCAGUGGGGAAUAUUGGACAAUGGGCGAAAGCCUGAUCCAGCCAUACCGCGUGAGUGAAGAAGGCCUUCGGGUUGUAAAGCCCUUUUGUUGGGAAAGAAAAGCAGCAGGAUAAUACCCCGCUGUUCUGACGGUACCCAAAGAAUAAGCAACGGCUAACUUCGUG